ACGUCCUACGGGUAGGCAGCAGUCGGGGAAUAUUUGCACAAUGGGGGAAACCCUGAUGCAGCCAUGCCGCGUGUGUGAAGGAAGGCCUUCGGGUUGUAAAGCACUUUCAGUAGGGAGGAAGGUAGUGUAGUUAACACCUGCACCUAUUUGACGUUACCUACAGAAGAAGCACCGGCUAACUCCGUGCCAGCAGCCGCGGUAAUACGGAGGGUGCGAGCGUUAAUCGGAAUUACU
rnacentral:rRNA from 1 species